rnacentral:rRNA from 1 species
UACAGAGGUCUCAAGCGUUGUUCGGAUUCAUUGGGCGUAAAGGGUGCGUAGGUGGCGCCGUAAGUCAGGUGUGAAAUUUCGGAGCUUAACUCCGAAACUGCAUUUGAUACUGCGGUGCUUGAGGACUGGAGAGGAGACUGGAAUUUACGGUGUAGCAGUGAAAUGCGUAGAGAUCGUAAGGAAGACCGGUGGCGAAGCGGGUCUC